rnacentral:lncRNA from 1 species
UUAUGUUCGAGAGAAGUGAUGGACCGAUCAGGGGAGACUGUUGAUCAAUCGGUUAGGACGAAGACUGGAGGGGAUCUACCAGUCAUGGGAGGAUUGUAGACGACAUCAAAGGAUGGGUAGUAAUGAGCGAGUAUUGUGGAGAAGGAAACUUACACGAUGUGGCAGUUACAAUUAGGGGCGAAUCUUGCGGAACAAGGUGCAAUAGUUACAAGAAGUUAAUGCCCAUUAUUGGGCCUAAAUGCCUAUAAAUACAGACAUGUUAGUCAGGUACUUGACUUGAUUCUGAU